CCUUAUUUCUUAUCAGAUAGAAGCUGCGUUGAGCCAUAUCAGAGCUUGUCGUUCGACGAGUUGAGCUUCAUCGUGUCAUUGUUUGUAUGUCUCAUUUUGUUAAUUCAUACCACAUAUAUUUUGGGGAGUAAUGUAUUUUGUGUCAAAAUGUAUUAAGUCUCAUACCCAUUGCAUAUUUUGUGUAUGUUUUGAAAUGAAGUGGUUUGGUGGUAAAAAAAAAGGGGGAAAUUUUCUUUUUCAGUACAACUACUUGAAGAAUUGGUAUUUUGAUGGGCCGGUGUACCCUAUUUUAAAGCAUGUGUAUAUGUUUGGGAUUUUUGAUUUUAUUUUCAGGUGGUUUUAGUCCAUUUUUCAGAGGAAACUCUGCCGAAAUUUUUAUAAAAUUAUAACAGUCAAAGCAUGUCAAGUUCGCCUUGGUGGUGGGUCCGACACUUCGCUGGUAUCUACCAUCAGCGCACGACACGUGUCGGAUCCAUUGGGGUGAUCGGGACGGGUCGUGUCAAUUGGUAUCAGAGCAUGGUUAUAAAGUCAGUUUGCAUGGUUUAUUUGAAUUUUGUUCUGAUCAUAUCAUACAUAUUUUAUAGUUGGAAGUCAUGGCUCGUGGUAAUAAGACACGCAGGCUCCAAGAUAGGUCGUCUCAACCACCAGCUGCUCCUGAUAGGGAUGCUAGUUGGGUCGAGGAAUCAGUUCAUCCGACCCAUGAUCAGCGGAGAUAUGGGGAUGUAGCCCAGCCUGAUUUAAUAGUUGAUAGGAUUGCCACCGCUGUUGCUUCUGCUCUACGCAAUACAGAUAAAGAUUAUAGUAUAGAGUGGGCUACUAAAUUAGGAGCUAAAGUAUUUACAGGCACAGCUGAUCCAGUAGAUGCAGAAUCGUGGAUGGUGAGGAUAGAAAGAAUAUUUGAUGUAAUGGAUUGCCCUGAUGAUCGAAAAUUACGACUAGCUACUUUCUUGUUAGAAAGAAGUGCUUAUGAUUGGUGGAAGUCCGUACAGGGUAAAUAUGUUGAUCCUUCUGUAAUCACGUGGGGCGAGUUUAAAGAUGA
rnacentral:lncRNA from 1 species